UAAGGGUCAGUUAUAAACACGCCAAUAACUAGGCUUCCUUAGGCAGUAACUUACCUUUGUCAUUUCUUGUAGUUCGAGCUUGACUCAGUCCGGUCUCGCACCAAACAGGAUUGAGGAGCUAGAAUACAAGGUUUUAGUAGGAAACUGAAGACGGAGGGAGGCAUCACAGACCCCGCUACUUUCAUGUGGGCCAAACCUAACCGAGAAGCAUAACAGAGCACCAAGCCUGCCCAUUCCUUACUCCUGGUAUGAAAACAAGAGACGACUUCUCUCUUUAGGAAGAAGAAGUAAGUCAUCUUCCACAAUGAUGUGACUUCAGGUGAGCAAACAGACACGCUGCAUUUCCUCUAAGAGAAGACUGAGCCACAAGUAUUUAGCCUUAAAUGUAACUGUGCCUUCCUGGGCUUGCUCCUACCUUUGAGGGAUUCUGGUGCAAGCUAGCCUCAUUAUUUUUUUUAAGCCAGACAACUGACUUUAGUUUUAUUACAAAGCUUUUAUUAAAAAACAAAUGCUCAGCACAUUAACUCAAACUGGAAUGACAAAAAAAAAAAUCGGUUGACAGUAUUUUUGGCAAAGGCUGUGCCUUACUAUUUUAAAAAAUGGGUACAUCAAUGCUCAUUUCAACACUGGCAUAAAAUCCCACUAACAGGCUAACAAAAACAGAUACAAAUACAGAACAAUUGAAGUAAUAAUUCAAGUGCUGGGCUUUUUACAAGGAGAAGGGGAAUGGGUGAGAAGGAGAACUCACUGCAGUCAGAUUUGCUGGAUGUAUUGCUAUGUUUACAGAGUAGAUGAUGCAAGACUAAGGUGUCUACUGACCAGCUGAUGUUGUUACAUGUAUUUAGUUCUAUAGGACACUGUAUUAUAUAGACUGAGAGGCCACUAUUUGUUACAAAUAGUUUAACAAAAAAGCCACCUUUUUUUCCAUACAGGCUUUUCCUCUGGCAGAAAAAAAAAAAAAAAAGAAAA